CCGCAGCCAAUUAAGCCGACUGAGUUCCUUUCCUCAUGGGGACCCAGUGUGCAAUGGCUGCACACAGCAGCUUCCUUGGUAGUGUACGCAGCCUGUUGGUUGUAUGGGUUGCUCUAAGGGACCUUGGAGACAGGC
ensembl:snoRNA SNORA70 Small nucleolar RNA SNORA70